GUCGAACUUUCAGACCAAUUCGAUGCUUAAUUGCAGAAUAAACGAACCUAUUUGGUGAAGAAAAUAGUGGGAACAAUUCCACAAAGUAACGGUUUUUACUGCCACCACCAGUUUUAAUGUCCGUAUGUCACUCUUCUGCUAAAAACCCGCUGCAUACAUAAUAGUAACAGCGGAAGAGCGCUGGGAACAGUUGCAUGUUACCGUUUAAAACCUGUAAAGCUGCUGCUAAAAUCUCUGAAUUCGCCCUAACAUUUUCGGAGUUCUGCACCGCACCACCCAUCCAACAUCGGUCACGCACCUUAGCUGGCAGCAGUCGGUCGGCUGGCAAUUCAAAGAAGCAACAAACUUCAGUACUUCCCAUUGCCUUAGACAUUGUCGUUCAACUUGUCGGCGGUUCCGUUGAUGGACAACGACGACACUUUUGUUAGUGGCAACAGUGGUGGCGGCGGCGGCGGCGGCGACAAUGCCAGCGCCUGAUUUCGCUACUGCCAUUGUGUCAGUGCGGUUUUGCUUGCGGAUGCCGAUUAACGACCGGCAACGACCCAACAACCGACGCAACAGCAGCGGCAGCGCACACGUUCGUCACCCAACAGUUGCGGCGAUCUCGCUAGUUCAGUGUUGGCAUUCAGAACGUACGGAUGUCCUGACGCGUAGCGAAGCACGUUGAAAUGUACCGUUAUACGCGCACCGAAAUCGGAACGCGUGAGUGUGUGUGAAAGCAAAAGUUUUUACCAAAAACAAAUAAAAAAUUUAUAAAUGCGUGUGCCAGCAUGCAGAACGCGUGAAGUUUUGCAUGCGUCGCUCCAACACACACACACACACGUGCGAAAGUCGCCAUUUCGCAGACGGAUGUGCAAUAAAAAACGCGCGAUUUUGGUGCGUGAUGGAUUGGCGUCGUGUGACUGUGCCAUUUUGUGUGUGAAGUCCGUGCCGGAUAAGUGAUAUGAAGUGCAGAAAGCAACAAAAAGAAAGCGAAAACAAAAACAAACAUAAGUGAAAAAGCAGUUGAAAGCAAUGAAAAUAUUUGUAAUAGGAAAAAAUUGCAAAGCGGAAGCAAAAUCAUAAAUUCACACGUGAAUGAGUGAGAAAAUUGUGACGAUUUAAUACCACUGGUGUUCGGAGGAUAUUUUGCGGGCGCUCAGUCACACACACACACGCACAUAAUGCACGUUGAAGUGCUGACAAGUGUUCGUUAAUAAAAUAUGCCGAUUUAAAUUUAAAUGAAUACAUAAAAAAGUUGCGAAAAAUAAACUUUUCCACUUUUCUUUAUAUGCCGUGGUAUUUUACAGCAAAAAAAAAUAUGAACAACAACAACAUAAGCAAAUAUAACAGCAGAAAAAGCGCGUGUAAUUUGUAGUGAAAAGUUGGCAACAAGCGGAAAUCGCUGCUGAAGUGCGAACAAAUGUGGCACACGCCUUCCUGCAUAUCCCAAAACAAAUACGAAAAGUAAUAAUGAAUGCAUGCGGCGGCAAUAAAAAGAUGGAGGAGCGGGGAAUCCGUAUUAACGUUAAGUCGCACACACGAAGUGCUUUCGUCUAAAAAACGGUAAAAGCAACAAAUUUGCUGAAAGUGCGUCUUAAGCGGAGAGCGAAGGUAAAUAUUGAGGAGAUAAGUAGAAAAAGAACAAAAAUGAGAGGUGUGAAAAGUUAAGUAUGUCAAAGUUACAAAGUGAACGGAAAACUAUUUUAAAAAAGUUGAGUAAUAAACGCGAAAAAUAAAAAAUAAAAAA